rnacentral:lncRNA from 1 species
GAAGCUGCCCCUGCCCAGUCCCAUCUUCACAUCUUUGCCUGGGUUGUGCUCUCAUCUCCUUCUGGAUGCUGGUCUGAUUGUUCCAACCCACAUUCUUCACCUAUCCAACCAUGCUAAGGGUAAAGGCCUCAGAAGUGAGGAGAUCCCCAGCCCUAGCUGCCAGGAAACACAAGGAAUCACUCAUUCCUCAUCCCUGCAGACGCUGGCACAGUGCUGAAGGUGAUCUCCGUCCCCAAGGGCAGCCAGCCUAACGGGGAGGGGCUGCUCUUGGAGGAGCUGCACGUUUUUGAGGUGAGGCCUAGCCCCCUCCUCCUAGAGGAACCCUACCCCAUUGAUCUCUGAUCCCAGCGCUCGCUCCUCCUCCUCCUCCUCUCAGGAUUCAUCUGCUAUCACCAGCAUGCAAAUCUCUUCCAAGAGGGUAAGUGACCAAAAGGCUUGGGAGCAGAAGGGACCCAGUGUGUUCCCCGGGCACCCCUACCCCCACACCUCCCUUGGUAGUUUGAAGCACUGGGUUUGAGUAUAGGUUCUGCCUUUGCUAGACUGCGUGACCUGAGACCCUGAUCAGUGUCAAGUGGGGUGAGGGAUCCCUGACCAAUGGGAGGCGGGCACAGGGCUGCCUUCGGUCAGCCCGGAGCCCCUCGUGCCCCCUAGCACCAGCUGUACAUAGCUUCGCGGAGCGCGGUCGCCCAGAUCCCGUUGCACCUCUGUGCUGCCCACGGCCGCGCCUGUGCGGAAUGCUGCCUUGCGCGCGACCCUUACUGCGCCUGGGACGGGGCCGCGUGCACGCGCUUUCAGCCCAGCGCUAAAAGGUGGGCAGGGUUGGGGGCGGGCCACCUGGAAUCAUUUGCAGCACCUGGCUAAAUGAAGAAGGACUCACCGAGGCUCUAAUGUACCAAUGCAACCCCCACCCUGCAGGCGGUUCCGGCGGCAAGACGUGAGGAAUGGCGACCCCAGCACGCUGUGCUCCGGCGGUGAGUGCCCCCAGCUGCCCCACUUCUGGGCCUUUGAAGACGCCCCACCCUGCCCUGCCUGAAUCUGACAUUCCUUUGCCCUCCCCAGAUUCCUCUCAUCCCGCACUGCUGGAGCGGAAGGUGUUCGGUGUGGAGGGCGGAAGCGCCUUCCUGGAGUGUGAGCCCCGCUCGCUGCAGGCGCGCGUGGAAUGGACCUUCCAGCGCGCAGGGGAGGCGACCCACACCCAGGUGAGCCUCACGCCCUCCCUUCCCAAACAAGCCCUUGUCCCGCCCCCUACAUCCAGGAGAGCCCCGCCUUGCCAGUGUGGUUCCCACUUCUAGACUAGGUCCGACCCCGCCCAGUGAGACUCUGUCCAGCUAGACCCCUUACGUCCAGUUUGGUCCCUUACCUGAACUCCACGUUCUGGUGAGGCCCCAUUCCAUCUAACUAGACUCCUGACACCCCCCUCCCCCAUCCGAGAGGAGCCCCGCCCAUUGAGGCCCCCGCCCCGCCCCCAUGUUCAGGUAACCCCUCCCCCCCCCCACCUCCAGUCCAGUCCCGUCCGGUCUCGUCCGGUCCGGUAAGAGUUUCCGCUUUUAGACCACUGGUCCCAGUGCACCCAACCUUCAAAGGUACACCUGCGAGAGUCCCUUACCUGCUCAUGCUUGGCCACCGUUGACCCUCUACCUCUCCUGGCCCGACCUGGGAGCCGGGUUUCCUUGUUCCUGACACCGAUGCCUUUGCCUCCCACUGGCCCCGCCUGCAGGUAGCUAUGGAGGAGCGCGCGGAGCGCCUUACGGGGGGACUGCUGCUGCGCGGACUGAGGCGCGGGGAUUCUGGCGUGUACCUGUGCGCAGCUGUGGAGCAGGGCUUUUCGCAGUCGCUGCGUCGCCUGGUGCUACACGUGCU